rnacentral:rRNA from 1 species
GUGGGGAAUAUUGGGCAAUGGGGGAAACCCUGACCCAGCAACGCCGCGUGAAGGAAGAAGGUCUUCGGAUCGUAAACUUCUAUCCUUGGUGAAGAUAAUGACGGUAGCCGAGAAGGAAGCCCCGGCUAACUACGUGCCAGCAGCCGCGGUAAUACGUAGGGGGCAAGCGUUGUCCGGAAUGAUUGGGCGUAAAGGGCGCGUAGGCGGCCUGGUAAGUCUGGAGUGAAAGUCCUGCUUUUAAGGUAGGAAUUGCUUUGGAUACUGUCGGGCUUGAGUGCAGGAGAGGUAAGUGGAAUUCCCGGUGUAGCGGUGAAAUGCGUAGAGAUCGGGAGGAACACCAGUGGCGAAGGCGACUUACUGGACUGUAACUGACGCUGAGGCGCGAAAGUGUGGGGAGCAAACAGGAUUAGAUACCCUGGUAGUCC